rnacentral:lncRNA from 1 species
GAAGCAGUCGGAGCUUCUGAAAAUUCUGAGGAACAUGUUCAAAUGCUGCCCUUCUCACCUGCUCUUUAGGACGAGUAAAGCAAGACCACUGAAGAAAGGCUUGCGGGGUAGGUGGGUUCUCAGACUGAGGGAAGGAGACCUGCUGGCACAUUCCCAUAGUCAGGAGGAAGGAGGGCUACAGGGAAAGCAGGCUAUACGGGAUUCCUGUUGCAUGUCAAGGAAAUAGCAAAGAUGAAAUAAGAAUAAAAACUGAGCCCAGAUGCCUUCA